rnacentral:rRNA from 1 species
GUGAGGAAUAUUGCGCAAUGGAGGCAACUUUGACGCAGCCAUGCCGCGUGCAGGAAGAAGGCGCUACGCGUUGUAAACUGCUUUUAACCGGGAAGAAACCCCAGGACGUGUCCUGGGUUGACGGUACCGGAGGAAUAAGCACCGGCUAACUUCGUGCCAGCAGCCGCGGUAAUACGAAGGGUGCAAGCGUUCUCCUGAUUCAUUGGGUUUAUAGGUUGCGUAUGCGGAGCGUUAAUUCAGUGGUGAAAUCCUGCAGCUUAACUGUAGACUUGCCAUUGAUACUGGCGCUCUUGAGUGCGCUUGAAGUGGGCGGAAUGUGCCGUGUAGCGGUGAAAUGCUUAGAUAUGGCACAGAACACCAAUUGCGAAGGCAGCUCACUAAGGCGAUACUGACGCUGAGGCACGAAAGCGUGGGGAUCGAACAGGAUUAGAAACCCGGGUAGUCC